UGGGGAAUUUUGGACAAUGGGCGAAAGCCUGAUCCAGCAAUGCCGCGUGUGUGAAGAAGGCCUUCGGGUUGUAAAGCACUUUUGUCCGGAAAGAAAUCCUUGGCUCUAGUACAGUCGGGGGAUGACGGUACCGGAAGAAUAAGCACCGGCUAACUACGUGCCAGCAGCCGCGGUAAUACGUAGGGUGCAAGCGUUAAUCGGAAUUACUGGGCGUAAAGCGUGCGCAGGCGGUUUGCUAAGACCGAUGUGAAAUCCCCGGGCUCAACCUGGGAACUGCAUUGGUGACUGGCAGGCUAGAGUAUGGCAGAGGGGGGUAGAAUUCCACGUGUAGCAGUGAAAUGCGUAGAGAUGUGGAGGAAUACCGAUGGCGAAGGCAGCCCCCUGGGCCAAUACUGACGCUCAUGCACGAAAGCGUGGGGAGCAAACAGGAUUAGAUACCCUGGUAGUCCACGCCCUAAACGAUGUCAACUAGUUGUUGGGGAUUCAUUUCCUUAGUAACGUAGCUAACGCGUGAAGUUGACCGCCUGGGGAGUACGGUCGCAAGAUUAAAACUCAAAUGAAUUGACGGGGUCAUAGCUGUUUCCU
rnacentral:rRNA from 1 species